UACGUAGGUGACAAGCGUUAUCCGGAAUACUGGGCGUAAAGCGCACGCAGGCGGCUGCGUAAGUCUGACGUGAAAUCUCCCGGCUUAACCGGGAGCGGUCGGUUGGAAACUAUGCGGCUUGAGGCGAUGAGAGGGGUGUGGAAUUCCCGGUGUAGUGGUGGAAUGCGUAGAGUAUCGAGAGGAACACCUGCGGCGAAGGCGGGUGCUGGGCUGACACUGACGCUGGAGGCGCGAAAGCUAGGGGAGCGAACGGG
rnacentral:rRNA from 1 species